GACGUACGCUGGCGGCGUGCUUAACACAUGCAAGUCGAACGGAAAGGCCCUGCUUUUGUGGGGGGCUCGAGUGGCGAACGGGUGAGUAACACGUGAGUAACCUGCCCUUGACUUUGGGAUAACUUCAGGAAACUGGGGCUAAUACCGGAUAGGAGCUCCUGCUGCAUGGUGGGGGUUGGAAAGUUUCGGCGGUUUGGGAUGGACUCGCGGCUUAUCAGCUUGUUGGUGGGGUAGAGGCUUACCAAGGCUUUGACGGGUAGACGGCCUGAGAGGGUGACCGGCCACAUUGGGACUGAGAUACGGCCCAGACUCCUACGGGAGGCAGCAGUGGGGAAUAUUGCACAAUGGGCGGAAGCGUGAUGCAGCAACGCCGCGUGCGGGAUGACGGGUUUCGGGUUGUAAACCGCUUUCGCCUGUGACGAAGCGUGAGUGACGGUAAUGGGUAAAGAAGCACCGGCUAACUACGUG
rnacentral:rRNA from 1 species